rnacentral:sRNA from 1 species
GGCUGAAUGAAUCCAAGAGCAAUCCAUUGCUGAAUCAAACUGCUCUUCUGUAUGUGGGAGCCCUUGGGGAAGACUGACAAAUAUGCAAAGCACAACCUCAGAGAACAAGGCAUGCUGUAAUAACUAAGCUUCAAGUUGGCUAUAACUCCGUUAUCUGGAAAACGAUCAUCUUUUUCGGCCCAUAUAUUACUAUGUAGGUUUUGUUCCCACUCAGUCGGACGCAUUCUUCCUAGAAAGUAACCAAGGGAUUUUACAGCUAAUGGCAAACCUUGGCAUUUCUCCACUAUUGUCUCCCGCAUCGCUUCCACGUAGGGAGGCACUGGUGUCGGUACUCGUGCUUUUUUCCUGAACAAGGUCCAGCAGUCUUCGUUUGGUAGAAGACCCAAUUCAAUUUGCAAAUCUUUGUUCAUUCGGUCAGCAACCUUCUUGCUACGUGUAGUCACAAUAACCUUGCUACCUUUCUUGCAGAGUCUAAGCAUUGCCUCUAACUCAUCCAGCUUAAAAUUAUUUUCUUCCCAGAGAUCAUCCAAAACAAUAAG